UAGGGAAUCUUCCGCAAUGGACGCAAGUCUGACGGAGCAACGCCGCGUGAGUGAAGAAGGAUUUCGGUUCGUAAAACUCUGUUGUUAGAGAAGAACAGCGCAUAGAGUAACUGUUAUGCGUGUGACGGUAUCUAACCAGAAAGCCACGGCUAACUACGUGCCAGCAGCCGCGGUAAUACGUAGGUGGCAAGCGUUGUCCGGAUUUAUUGGGCGUAAAGCGAGCGCAGGCGGUCAAUUAAGUCUGAUGUGAAAGCCCCCGGCUCAACCGGGGAGGGUCAUUGGAAACUGGUUGACUUGAGUGCAGAAGAGGGGAGUGGAAUUCCAUGUGUAGCGGUGAAAUGCGUAGAUAUAUGGAGGAACACCGGUGGCGAAAGCGGCUCUCUGGUCUGUAACUGACGCUGAGGCUCGAAAGCGUGGGGAGCGAACAGG
rnacentral:rRNA from 1 species